CAGUAGCCGCGGUAAUACGUAGGGCGCAAGCGUUAAUCGGAAUUACUGGGCGUAAAGCGUGCGCAGGCGGUUCGCUAAGACAGAUGUGAAAUCCCCGGGCUUAACCUGGGAACUGCAUUUGUGACUGGCGGGCUAGAGUAUGGCAGAGGGGGGUAGAAUUCCACGUGUAGCAGUGAAAUGCGUAGAGAUGUGGAGGAAUACCAAUGGCGAAGGCAGCCCCCUGGGCCAAUACUGACGCUCAUGCACGAAAGCGUGGGGAGCAAACAGGAUUAGAUACCCGCGUAGUCCCUGUCUCUUAUAC
rnacentral:rRNA from 1 species